GCCUGUGGCUCAGCUAGACUCUGUUCAGCCAGGCCAUGACCACUUUAGUUAUUACUGGAGCAAUUUGGAAAGAGCUAUGCUGAUGUUUCAUCUAGAUAACGUCAUUGGUUGUGUGACACUCCCAUAACCAACUCCAUAUCCUUCCUCCUCACCUUGUACUCUCGUGAUCACUCACUGUCAAAGUUGGAGGAUUUUAGUAGCCAGCAUGGCCUCAGGCAGGUUCAACUUGCAGCCAGUUGUGUGGCUGUCAGGGGCCCUGAAGGAUGAUGCCUGUAAUUUUAGAAGAUUGUAAUUGUUCAAGAUAAGAUGUCCUUACCCUGGUUUGAACUAAAGGCCAGUUGUUGGAGUCUUCCAACAAGAAGAGGGAUCCUGCUCCUGAAAACCUGUCUCGCAAUAUCCUGUACAGCACCUUCAAAUCCUGCUGUUUGGAGCCCAUAUCCUGGGAGAUGGGAGGCAAGAUUUCCUCCAGGUGAUUUUACCCAUAGGCUAGCUGAGAUAGUCCAGGAUCUGGGAGCAGUACAAGGGUGCCCUUCCCUCCUGUCUCCUGCAGAAACAGACUGCCCUCUGAUUUAAAUGAAUAAAAAAAUGAACAGGA